rnacentral:rRNA from 1 species
UUGAACGCUGGCGGCAUGCCUUACACAUGCAAGUCGAACGGCAGCACGGACUUCGGUCUGGUGGCGAGUGGCGAACGGGUGAGUAAUACAUCGGAACGUGCCUAGUAGUGGGGGAUAACUACUCGAAAGAGUGGCUAAUACCGCAUGAGAUCUACGGAUGAAAGCAGGGGAUCGUAAGACCUUGUGCUACUAGAGCGGCCGAUGGCAGAUUAGGUAGUUGGUGGGAUAAAAGCUUACCAAGCCAACGAUCUGUAGCUGGUCUGAGAGGACGAUCAGCCACACUGGGACUGAGACACGGCCCAGACUCCUACGGGAGGCAGCAGUGGGGAAUUUUGGACAAUGGGCGAAAGCCUGAUCCAGCAAUGCCGCGUGCAGGAUGAAGGCCUUCGGGUUGUAAACUGCUUUUGUACGGAACGAAAAGCUUCGGGUUAAUACCCUGAAGUCAUGACGGUACCGUAAGAAUAAGCACCGGCUAACUACGUGCCAGCAGCCGCGGUAAUACGUAGGGUGCAAGCGUUAAUCGGAAUUACUGGGCGUAAAGCGUGCGCAGGCGGUUUUGUAAGACAGAGGUGAAAUCCCCGGGCUCAACCUGGGAACUGCCUUUGUGACUGCAAGGCUAGAGUACGGCAGAGGGGGAUGGAAUUCCGCGUGUAGCAGUGAAAUGCGUAGAUAUGCGGAGGAACACCGAUGGCGAAGGCAAUCCCCUGGGCCUGUACUGACGCUCAUGCACGAAAGCGUGGGGAGCAAACAGGAUUAGAUACCCUGGUAGUCCACGCCCUAAACGAUGUCAACUGGUUGUUGGGUCUUCAUUGACUCAGUAACGAAGCUAACGCGUGAAGUUGACCGCCUGGGGAGUACGGCCGCAAGGUUGAAACUCAAAGGAAUUGACGGGGGCCCGCACAAGCGGCGGAGUAUGUGGUUUAAUUCGAAGCAACGCGAAGAACCUUACCAGGGCUUGACAUAUACAGGAAUACUUAAGAAAUUAGGUAGUCUUUCGAGACUUGUAUACAGGUGGUGCAUGGUUGUCGUCAGCUCGUGUCGUGAGAUGUUGGGUUAAGUCCCGCAACGAGCGCAACCCUUGCCAUUAGUUGCUACGAAAGGGCACUCUAAUGGGACUGCCGGUGACAAACCGGAGGAAGGUGGGGAUGACGUCAAGUCCUCAUGGCCCUUAUAGGUGGGGCUACACACGUCAUACAAUGGCUGGUACAAAGGGUUGCCAACCCGCGAGGGGGAGCUAAUCCCAUAAAGCCAGUCGUAGUCCGGAUCGCAGUCUGCAACUCGACUGCGUGAAGUCGGAAUCGCUAGUAAUCGUGGAUCAGCAUGUCACGGUGAAUACGUUCCCGGGUCUUGUACACACCGCCCGUCACACCAUGGGAGCGGGUCUCGCCAGAAGUAGGUAGCCUAACCGCAAGGAGGGCGCUUACCACGGCGGGGUUCGUGACUGGGGUG